rnacentral:rRNA from 1 species
GACGUAGGGCGCGAGCGUUGUCCGGAUUUAUUGGGCGUAAAGAGCUCGUAGGCGGCUUGUCGCGGCGACCGUGAAAACUCGCAGCUCAACUGCGAGCCUGCGGUCGAUACGGGCAGGCUAGAGUUCGGUAGGGGAGACUGGAAUUCCUGGUGUAGCGGUGAAAUGCGCAGAUAUCGGGAGGAACACCGGUGGCGAAGGCGGUUAUCUGGGCCUGUACUGACGCUGAGGAGCGAAAGCGUGGGGAGCGAACAGG